ACACACACACACAAUAAAUAGAUGACAGACGUUUGCCAAGCAUUCUUUCAUGCCGCCUCAGUGCAUUGUAUUUCUUUUUAAGUACUCCCUUGGAAAGUGAGUGUGUUUAGAGCAGAUGAACCAGCUUCUAUUGCCAACUUGACCCUGGAACUCACAGCCUGUGGGCCCCAAGCUCUGGAACCAUUUCAAACAGGACUUCAUUCACCACCCUCUUCCCCUCUCUGUCUCUGAGGCAGAGGCUGAUGGAACAGGGCACUUCAGCCCUUGCUGCCCUGUGUGUCAGGCUCUAUUGCAGGAAAACCUGACUGCCAGUGAACUCAGAUUGCUAUAGAAUUGUUGGCUCAGCCCCAUCAGAGCCUCAGAAAACCGAGGACCUCCAACCUCAAGCAGUGAAGGAGUGUGUUUUUUCCAAAUAAAUUUCAGUCGGAUAGUCAGACAGAAAUAACCUGAGAAGGUGUGUAUGGAUGUGUGUGCGUGUGCUUUUUUAUAUGACUGAACUUGUCUCCUUUUAUCAUUGACCCAAUUGAUCUGCCCUCUGACUCCAGCCGAGCUGCUCAGUUCCGUCACACCACCAAUGAGAACUGCACGUGCAUGACCUCCGACCCUUUAUGUGCUUGUUAGGGUUGUUGAAUGUAGAAGGUUGUGAACUCCAUAGAAUAUAGAAUACUCUUGCUAUGGUGAUUGCGGCCAUAAACUGCCCUUUCUGUCAUUUCCUUUCAUUCCACGGGCAUGGACUUUAUUGAUUGUUUCAUUUAUUCAGUGUUAAUCUUUUUUUUUUUUUCUGUACUGUCAUUUGCCUCGAAGUUUUAGGCACAAUUUAAAAGACAAUGAAUGCUCUACAUUGCUAUUUUAUGUGUAUAUUUUGUGAAUACUUUUGUGAGUAUUUCUGUAGGUUGCUCUUUGUAUUUCAACUCUUAUGACCCCUGCUUGGUGAUCAGCUGCACUGCAUUAACUGUUUGUACUGGUCUGAAUGACAGACCACGACUUUUGUAUUUUGGCAGUUUAUUCCCUCCACAUUUUCUCCUUGUACACAUUGCUGUCCAUUAGUUUUUCUUGUCAUGAAGAUAGUUUGUUUUUAUUGCAACAGAAAACAACAUUUGCAUAUUCAGAUGCUUUGUCUCCUGUUAAUAAAUGAACCCCUUUCUCACUUUUCCCACAGGAUUGUAUAUUACUAUGUUCAAUAAAACCAGAUUAUGUAUAUAUAUACAC